rnacentral:rRNA from 1 species
UGGGGAAUAUUGCGCAAUGGGGGGAACCCUGACGCAGCCAUGCCGCGUGAAUGAAGAAGGCCUUAGGGUUGUAAAGUUCUUUCGGUAUUGAGGAAGGUUGAUGUGUUAAUAGCACAUCAAAUUGACGUUAAAUACAGAAGAAGCACCGGCUAACUCCGUGCCAGCAGCCGCGGUAAUACGGAGGGUGCGAGCGUUAAUCGGAAUAACUGGGCGUAAAGGGCACGCAGGCGGUUAUUUAAGUGGGGUGUGAAAGCCCUGGGCUUAACCUAGGAAUUGCAUUUCAGACUGGGUAACUAGAGUACUUUAGGGAGGGGUAGAAUUCCACGUGUAGCGGUGAAAUGCGUAGAGAUGUGGAGGAAUACCGAAGGUGAAGGCAGCCCCUUGGGAAUGUACUGACGCUCAUGUGCGAAAGCGUGGGGAGCAAACAGGAUUAGAUACCCUGGUAGUCCACGCUGUAAACGCUGUCGAUUUGGGGGUUGGGGUUUAACUCUGGCGCCCGUAGCUAACGUGAUAAAUCGACCGCCUGGGGAGUACGGCCGCAAGGUUA